rnacentral:rRNA from 1 species
GUCCACGCCGUAAACGAUGGGCACUAGGUGUUCGGGGUAUUGACCCCCUGAGUGCCGCAGCUAACGCAUUAAGUGCCCCGCCUGGGGACUACGGCCGCAAGGUUAAAACUCAAAGGAAUUGACGGGGGCCCGCACAAGCGGUGGAGCAUGUGGUUUAAUUCGACGCAACGCGAAGAACCUUACCUGGGCUAGACAACGUCGGACAGCUCUAGAAAACAGAGUCUUCCCGCAAGGGACCGGCGGUUCAGGUGCUGCAUGGCUGUCGU